rnacentral:rRNA from 1 species
UACGAAGGGGGCUAGCGUUGUUCGGAAUUACUAGGCGUAAAGCGCGCGUAGGCGGAUCGCUAAGUCAGGGGUGAAAUCCCAGGGCUCAACCCUGGAACUGCCUUUGAUACUGACGAUCUGGAGAUCGGGAGAGGUUGGUGGAAUUCCGAGUGUAGAGGUGAAAUUCGUAGAUAUUCGGAGGAACACCAGAAGCGAAGGCGGCCAACUGGCCCGAUACUGACGCUGAGGCGCGAAAGCGUGGGGAGCAAACAGG